GAUGAAGAACGAAGCGAAAUGCGAUAAGUAAUGUGAAUUGCAGAAUUCAGUGAAUCAUCGAAUCUUUGAACGCACAUUGCGCCCAUUAGUAUUCUAGUGGGCAUGCCUGUUCGAGCGUCAUUAAGUCCACUUAAGCCUAGCUUAGUGUUGGGAGACUGCUCCAGUGGUGCUACCCUGUAGCUACCCUGCAGCUCCUUAAAGACAGCGGCGGAGUCGUGUUAUCCUCUGAGCUUAGUAAAUCAUUCUAGCUUUCGAGAGUAUCACUUCACCUGCCGUUAAACCACCUAAUUUUUAUGGUUGACCUCGGAUCAGGUAGGAAUACCCGCUGAACUUAAGCAUAUCAAUAAGCGGAGGA
rnacentral:misc_RNA from 1 species